rnacentral:rRNA from 1 species
GACGCACGCUGGCGGCGUGCCUAAUACAUGCAAGUAGAACGCUGAAGAGAGGAGCUUGCUCUUCUUGGAUGAGUUGCGAACGGGUGAGUAACGCGUAGGUAACCUGCCUUGUAGCGGGGGAUAACUAUUGGAAACGAUAGCUAAUACCGCAUAACAAUGGAUGACACAUGUCAUUUAUUUGAAAGGGGCAAUUGCUCCACUACAAGAUGGACCUGCGUUGUAUUAGCUAGUAGGUGAGGUAAUGGCUCACCUAGGCGACGAUACAUAGCCGACCUGAGAGGGUGAUCGGCCACACUGGGACUGAGACACGGCCCAGACUCCUACGGGAGGCAGCAGUAGGGAAUCUUCGGCAAUGGGGGCAACCCUGACCGAGCAACGCCGCGUGAGUGAAGAAGGUUUUCGGAUCGUAAAGCUCUGUUGUAAGUCAAGAACGGGUGUGAGAGUGGAAAGUUCACACUGUGACGGUAGCUUACCAGAAAGGGACGGCUAACUACGUG